UUUCUAAAAUGAAAUCCACAAUGAUGAUUUAUUGCUUUCAUAACCCUUUUCAUAAUUAAUGCAGUUUUAAUUAUGGGCAGUAUUCUUGAUUAUUGAUUACUAAUAAAAGCUAUUUCCUGGUGAGACACUUAUUUUAUGUUCAUAUUCUACAUAGAUGAUGUUGGGUGUAUUAUUUGUGUUGUGGAAGGUCCAUUUGUUACAUUUUAAGUGGUAAAAUGUCACCAGUUUGAAAUAGAGGAGGCUACCACGUUUAAUUUAAGAAUAAGCCUAAAUUUAUAGCUAUUCAACAUUAAGUAGAAUAUGUUUUGAUAAUCUGAUAAUUUUGAAACAACCAAUAUAAUUAUUAAAGUAUAAUGUAAUUCAUUUCAAAAUUCCUAUUUCACAAGAAUCCUGUAAAUGUAUCUGACACAUUAUACAUUCUGAUUGUAUGUACUCUGAUUAAUGAGGUUUUCCUGUAUUUGU
rnacentral:lncRNA from 1 species